rnacentral:rRNA from 1 species
AACCGGAUUAGAUACCCUGGUAGUCCACGCUGUAAACGAUGAAAACUAGAUGUUGGUAGGCUAAGACCUAUUAGUAUCGAAGCUAACGCGAUAAGUUUUCCGCCUGGGGAGUACGGUCGCAAGAUUAAAACUCAAAGAAAUUGACGGGGGCCCGCACAAGCGGUGGAGCAUGUGGUUUAAUUCGAUGCAACGCGAAGAACCUUACCUACCCUUGACAUCCUGAGAAUCUCGUAGAGAUAUGAGAGUGCCGCAAGGAACUCAGAGACGGGUGCUGCAUGGCUGUCGUCAGCUCGUGUUGUGAGAUGUUGGGUUAAGUCCCGUAACGAGCGCAACCCUUAUCUUUAGUUGCCAACAUGUAAUGGUGGGGACUCUAAAGAGACUGCUGGUGAUGAACCGGAGGAAGGCGGGGACGACGUCAAGUCAUCAUGGCCUUUAUGGGUAGGGCUACACACGUGCUACAAUGGCGCGUACGGAGAGUUGCGAACCUGCGAAGGGGAGCCAAUCUCGCAAAGCGCGUCGUAGUCCGGAUCGGAGUCUGCAACUCGACUCCGUGAAGUCGGAAUCGCCAGUAAUCGCGAAUCAGAACGUCGCGGUGAAUACGUUCCCGGGCCUUGUACACACCGCCCGUCACACCAUGGGAGUGGGUUGUACCAGAAGUAGGUAGUUUAACCCUCACGGGGAAACGCUUACCACGGUAUGGUUCAUGACUGGGGUGAAGUCGUAACAAGGUAGCCGUAA